rnacentral:misc_RNA from 1 species
UGUAUCCACAAGUAGCAGUAGUUGACCAAAAUGUCCCUUUCCCUUCAUCUACUUCUCGCCAAAACCUUUACCCAACCAUUGACAUGAACGACCUUGUAGAAAAUCUCUUCCCUCAAAAUGACCAAACUGCCCCUGAGCGACAACAUUAUUCACCAUCUGCCCCUCCUGAAAUCCUUGAAGAAACCCUUCUCGUUAUCCCCGGUUCCAUUCUUCAUUUGAUUGACAAGCACUAUUCCGUUGAACUCGCCAUCGGCGAUUUAUUCCUACAUCGUCUCCGACAAGGGAACAAUAUCGUCGCAGUACUUGUUCGUGUUGGAAAUGAAAUCCAGUGGCCGUUGACCAAGGACCUUGCCGCGGUAAAACUCGAUGAUUCACAUUACUUUUUCUCAUUUCAAGCUCCUAAAGACGAUGAAUCGGAUAAAGAAUCAUCAGUCAGUGACUUGGCAAAUGACUCGUUGAAUUAUGGUUUGACGAUUGCUUCCAAAGGACAGGAGAAAUUAUUGAAGGAGCUGGAUGACAUUUUGGAAAAUUACAGUAACUUUGCCGUGCAGAAAGUGGAGGAAAAGGCCGCGGUAGCAUUAGGUGGACCGGUGGCGAAGGAAUUGUCACCGGCGGAUUUAAAGUCG